UGGGGAAUUUUGCACAAUGGGCGCAAGCCUGAUGCAGCGACGCCGCGUGAGGGAUGAAGGCCUUCGGGUUGUAAACCUUUUUCGCUCAUGGUCAAGCCGCAGCUUUGGGUUGUGGUGAGGGUAGUGGGUAAAGAAGCGCCGGCUAACUACGUGCCAGCAGCCGCGGUAAUACGUAGGGCGCGAGCGUUGUCCGGAAUUAUUGGGCGUAAAGGGCUUGUAGGCGGUUGGCCGCGUCUGCCGUGAAAUCCUCUGGCUUAACUGGGGGCGGGCGGUGGGUACGGGUUGACUUGAGUGCGGUAGGGGAGAGUGGAAUUCCUGGUGUAGCGUUGGAAUGCGCAGAUAGCAGGAGGAACACCGGUGGAGAAGGCGGGUCUCUGGGCCGUUACUGACGCUGAGGAGCGAACGAGUGGGGAGCGAACAGG
rnacentral:rRNA from 1 species